AAAGAGGAGUGUCAGCACCAGGCUGCCUUUGUCACUCCAGCAGGAGCUGUUGGUUACCCUCUUCCUCCUGGCUGAUUUGGAGCAUUGGAGGCUGGCAAUCCCUGGGACAGUCAGAGAGGCAAGAUGUUGUGUCUUGCAUGGUGCAGAUAUUAAACUGACCGCAGAAACAAAAGACAGCCAAGGUGAUGGAUCACAUUGAAAGGAUUUUUGAAUAGAUGGGUCUGAGUACACCCUUUGUAAGCAGCAGAUGAUGAAUGUCCCUGAAGGUCUAGGUCUGAGAGCACCAACGCAUGUCAAGCCCUGAAGUUUAAUUUGUUUUUCU